rnacentral:rRNA from 1 species
AGCGAACGUUAGCGGCGGGCCUAACACAUGCAAGUCGAACGGGCUGUAGCAAUACAGUCAGUGGCGCACGGGUGAGUAACGCGUAGAUAAUCUACCUUCCGGCGGGGGAUAACAUUCCGAAAGGAAUGCUAAUACCGCAUAAGACCACGGGGUCCUCGGGCCCUGAGGGAAAAGGUGGCCUCUCCUUGGAAGCCAUCACCGGAAGAUGAGUCUGCGUCCCAUCAGCUAGUUGGUAAGGUAAUGGCUUACCAAGGCGAAGACGGGUAGCUGGUCUGAGAGGAUGAUCAGCCACACUGGUACUGGAACACGGACCAGACUCCUACGGGAGGCAGCAGUGGGGAAUAUUGGGCAAUGGGCGGAAGCCUGACCCAGCCACGCCGCGUGAGUGAUGAAGGCCU